rfam:Gregarina niphandrodes unplaced genomic scaffold scaffold00004, whole genome shotgun sequence.
GCCGCCUUAGCUUAGUGGCAGAGCGUUCGCUUCGUAAGCGAGAAGUCGCCGGUUCAAUCCCGGCAGGCGGCU